UCUGGAGCUCCGGCCAGGUGGGGGGAGGGGGCCCCAGGGUCUCCCAGAGGUCUAAGGCUGAGAGCAGAGAAGACACUAGAAUCACCGGGCAGGGCAGGGGUUUCAGUAUCCUCCUGUUGCAGGACACAACGCUUGGCUCGCCUUGCAGAACACGCUGCUCCUGGGGACUUUAGUCCUGGUCACCGUGGUCCUCCAUUCCAGCAGCCACUCCCGGCACCGCCCGGCUCCUGCGGCCGCUUUGAGUCUUUGAGGAAAGUGAUCUGAUAACAACCACGCAUAUUAAGAACUGCAAGAAAGAGGCCUCUGAAACUCGGCUUGGGGUGCAGGGGAGAGGAUGGAUGUGGCCACCACAAAGGAAGACGUUGGAGCCCUGGCCCAGGCCUGACAACACUCAGGGGGCCUUACGCUGCCACCAGGGCAUCGCCUCUGCCUGCCCAUAGGGUUCUAUGAGGGCCCCAUCGCACAGCUGAGAAAAACGAAGCACGGACAGUGAGGUAAGUUGCGCAGGUUACCGGUUCAUAAAUGACGGUCAAUAUCCACACCCAGGCUGGCCUGUCUCCGCGGCCAGAACUGCAAACCACGUCACCCUCUGCCUUCGUUCCCCAAGAUGAUCUGAUUCCGGUGGGUCUGGAGCCGGCCUUCGACAACCGCCCCCGGAGGUCACUGGGCCACACUUUGAGAACCACUCUGGCUUCCGUUUCAGUCAGGCUGAACGUUAGAGCCACCUGAGAAGCUUCAGAAACUAUGAACACCGUUCCCUUCCCCAAACACAGGCUUUUUCAAUGGGUCCAGAGUCGCCUUGCAGGUGUGGGUGACGUUCUGGUCAGCAUUUUCUUUUAAGGGGACAGACAGAGUGUAUAUUUAUCCAAGCAAUAACACAUAGGAAGACCUGCUCCGUGCCCUGUGCUGCACGGGGGCUGGGGACACAAAGGGGGGGUGGGACACUGUGUGUGCCUUCCAGGAGCACAGGUGCCUGACACUUCUGGUGGGGCACAGCGUGCCCUUUCUGGGGGGAGGAGGAAGGAUGCGGCUUCCUUCUUGCUUGUUCUCCUCUGGUGAGCUCCAGAAAGAGCCAGUCUCCUCGAAUGUGAAGUCCUUCUGGCUUCUCCCCGAUGUGGUCCUUCGCCCUUGCCUGACAGGUCACGGCUGGUUCUCCACCCAGAACUCAGCUCCCAGAAACACAGCCCUGAGAGACCACCCAUACGUGGAGCUCUCACAUUUUAGAGAGAGCGGACACAAGUGCUGGGCUCUUGUUAGAUCUAAAGAUGCCUGGAGCCCACCCCAAAUCAGCCCACCUGAUUCUUAGGUCAUGGGUGGGGUCUAAGGAAUAUGCGUUUUUCAUAAACUCCCAAAGGGCUCUGCUAUGCACGCAGCAGGAGAGCGGCAGGAGACCCUGGAGAGUUUGAAAAACACUGAUGCCCAGGUCCAUCCCCGGAGAGACUGGUCAAUGCUUUCAGAAGUUCCUAUGCAAGGCGUCUGGGCCUUCCAGCUGACCUUGUUUGGAAUUUGGAGCGACAACCCCAGGGACACUCACUCCUUGCUGCCACCAGGGCCUUGAAAUAAGAGGAGAAAGGGUGGCUCAGUUGGUUAAGAGCCCGACUCUUGAUUUCAGCACAGGUCGUGAUCUCACGGUUCGUGAGUUUGAGCCCCGCAUUGGGCUCCG